GAACGAACGCUGGCGGCAUGCCUAACACCUGCAAGUCGAACGAGACCUUCGGGUCUAGUGGCGCACGGGUGCGUAACGCGUGGGAACCUGCCCUUAGGUUCGGAAUAACUCCCCGAAAGGGGUGCUAAUACCGGAUAAUGUCUUCGGACCAAAGAUUUAUCGCCUUUGGAUGGGCCCGCGUUGGAUUAGCUAGUUGGUAGGGUAAAAGCCUACCAAGGCGACGAUCCAUAGCUGGUCUGAGAGGAUGAUCAGCCACACUGGGACUGAGACACGGCCCAGACUCCUACGGGAGGCAGCAGUGGGGAAUAUUGGACAAUGGGCGAAAGCCUGAUCCAGCAAUGCCGCGUGAGUGAUGAAGGCCUUAGGGUUGUAAAGCUCUUUUACCCGGGAUGAUAAUGACAGUACCGGGAGAAUAAGCUCCGGCUAACUCCGUG
rnacentral:rRNA from 1 species